rnacentral:rRNA from 1 species
UAGGGAAUCUUCCGCAAUGGGCGAAAGCCUGACGGAGCAACGCCGCGUGGGUGAUGAAGGUCUUCGGAUCGUAAAACUCUGUUAUUAGGGAAGAACAAAUGUGUAAGUAACUAUGCACGUCUUGACGGUACCUAAUCAGAAAGCCACGGCUAACUACGUGCCAGCAGCCGCGGUAAUACGUAGGUGGCAAGCGUUAUCCGGAAUUAUUGGGCGUAAAGCGCGCGUAGGCGGUUUUUUAAGUCUGAUGUGAAAGCCCACGGCUCAACCGUGGAGGGUCAUUGGAAACUGGAAAACUUGAGUGCAGAAGAGGAAAGUGGAAUUCCAUGUGUAGCGGUGAAAUGCGCAGAGAUAUGGAGGAACACCAGUGGCGAAGGCGACUUUCUGGUCUGUAACUGACGCUGAUGUGCGAAAGCGUGGGGAUCAAACAGG